AGCUUUGCACAGUGGCAGUAUCAUAGCCAAUGAGGUUUAUCCAAGUUGUGAUUAUUGCUAAUUGAAAAUAUUAAACAUAUCCACCAUUCUCAAAAUGACUCAAAUGGAACCUCUGCUCAAGAAGGUGUUAGUAGACUUACAUUUAAUUUUUUUUUCAUUUUUUUUAUU